GCGCGUCUGUCCGGUAUCUAUCGUCCAARUCUCCAUGAACGGGGCGAGCAACCCACAGAGGGUGUCAGGCCCGUAGAUAAGACGAGCCGAGACCGUGCAUCGGAUCCCUUCCCAAGAGUCGGGUUGCUUGAGCGUGCAGCCCUAAGCGGGAGGUAAACUCCUUCUAAGGCUAAAUAUCGCCACGAGACCGAUAGCGAACAAGUACCGCGAGGGAAAGUUGAAAAGAACUUUGAAGAGAGAGUUCAAGAGUGCGUGAAACCGUUCAGGGGGUUAAACGGGUGGGCCCUCGAAGGUCGAACAAGUCCCCGCUCCCGGCACUUGGUUGUAUGCCCUUAACGCUGCGUGGAGACUGCCUGAAUUGGCGGCUCUCUUGCAUAAGUCGCUCUGCGAUCGCAAUAGCCACGCCAAGGUCCGCAAGUGGGGGGCCUAGUAGGACUCCGCGACCGACUGGGUGUCUGUUACACGGGGCGUCCGUUAGCGAGUUUCGUGGUUACCUUCGCGGGUGCCGCGAUGACGAGCGCGGCGUUUCCCAACAGUACUGCCCGGUCGUGACCUGUCUCCUCCCGGGAGGUGUCGUAGCUUUUUUUUGUAAAAGAGAAAAAGUUGCGGUGCUCAACCUGUGGAGGCCCAGAGCGGAGAGUAGAANNNNNNNNNNNNNNGACCCGUCUUGAAACACGGACCAAGGAGUCUAACAUGUGCGCAAGUCGUCGAGAAAUUAUCAAACUAAACUCGCGAGGCGCAAUGAAAGUGAAGCGGCCCCGAUGAGGGUGCAUCCGCGAGGGGUGAUCCCGUCUCGAACAGAGCGGGCGCAACCCCAGGGCGUCCGAAUGCUCGCGAGAUCUUUCCCCCUUAAAAGGGUUUGGUCGAGUCGGCCGGACGAACCCAGAGCGCACACGUUGGGACCCGAAAGAUGGUGACCUAUGCCUGGCCAGGACGAAGCCAGGGGAAACC
rnacentral:rRNA from 1 species